CUCUCUGGAGAUUGGAGAUAACAUGUCGGCCUUGGCCCCACAGGAGCUGGCCAUGUCCAAGGAUCCAGGAAUCAGUUAUUUUAUCUUCACGUCUGAUUCCUGAGGGACAAAUGCUGUCAGUCUCACUGUGGAUCGAAGCAGGGAAUAUGAUUUUAGUCAGAAAUUGCCUCCUGUCUGCUGCAAAUUGGACUGAGGAAGAGAGGAAGUUGAAUUUCCCAAAGCUGAGUCAAUUUUAGAUUUAAUCCUUGGAUUGGCUAAUUCAUUCAUUCCUUCACAUCCACGUAGUAGGCAUUUAUCGAGCAUUUAUUAGGUUAUUUAUUAGGCGUUGAGCAUAUAAAGCAAAAAGCAAUAAAAAAUUACCAAGAAUAAUCAAAGCAAUACUAACAGCUAAUAUUUCUCCAUGAAGCCCUUACUAAAGUCCAGGUGAGGGUUUAAGGGCUUUGCUUAAAUUAUUCUCACAACUCCAUGGGGUAGGUGCUAUUUCUGCACCAUUAUGUGCAUUAAGGAAACAGACUCAGAGAGGUUAAGAAACAUGUCCCUGUCAUGGAGCUAGUAGUUCCAGAGUAGAAUUGAAAACCAGGCCAUUUGGCUCCGGUCUCUCCCUCUACUCAAACUCCAGAUCUCAAAGAGCUUGCGCUUUCAUGAGGAAGAAAACCAAUAAAAAAAGAGAGAAAAGUUUAAUAAAGUGGAUAAUAUAUUGAGUGCUUGCUACAUGUAUGACUUCGUUCAAUCCUCACAAUCACUCUCUGAAGAGGACACUGUUAUCAUUUCUCUCCAUUUACAGAUGGGGAAACUGAGGCACCAAGCAGUUAUAGAACUUGCUUGAGUUCGCAUAGUGGGUGAAGGGUGGAGCCAAUGCUUGGAGGCAGGCGGUCUGGCCCCAUAGCCUAUGCUUUUGACCUUUUCUCUCUGUCUCCUGAUGUUGGGUAAAGUGAGCAUGCAGGGCUGUGAUCAGAAAGAAAAUGUAUCAAAAAUAGGUUGGAUGAGGUAGAGGAGGGGUCUUAUAAGAGGGGAGCUUGAGCUGAAUUCUGAAGGGCAUGCAGUAUUGGGCCAGGCGAAGAUUGGGAGGAGAGGAUGCCAGCCAUGGGAGCAGCCUAGGAGGGACGCGGAGGGAAGAGGGAGCCGUGUUUGUUCCAUCAAACUGCAAGUGAUUCUGUUUUGUUCUAAUACAAGGCAGGAUGGGGGAGUAAAAAAAACAUGAGGGGGAACGUUAGGUCCAAGCCAGGGUAUGAAAUGUCCUUGUAUGCCACGUGAAGGAGUCUGGGUCUUGUUCAGGUAACGAGGAGCCAUAGAUGGGGCUCUAGCAGAGCAGUAGCAGUGUCAGAUCCAUGCUUGAGAAUGAUCAUGCCAGCUUAUGGGCCAUCCAAAAGCUGGCACACCCGAGGAGCAGGCCAUCCCAGGCUCUCUUGCAAUGAGAAGACAGUAACUUGCAGGCUAGGAUGGUAGCAAGGAGGACAAAGACAAGUGGAGGGAUUCAAGCAAUUUUAGGAGGUAAACCAAAAGAAAAUACGAUUGGAUGCAUGUGGGGGGCGGAAGGAGAGGGGUGAAGGAUGACCUCAGGUUUUUGACUUGAGCAAGUGGGUAGAAGGUGGGCCGUUUCUUGAGGCAGGAGGCUGGAGCAGAUUUAGGCUUGACGAGGACAGGGUCCGAGGCAGAUGUGUGGAAUUUGAGGAGUUUGUGGGAAAACCUGAUGGAUGCCCAACAGGCAGUCUAAUGUACAAUCUGGAACCCAGGAGAGGGGAAAUCCAGACUGGUGUAAGAAUUGGGGGAGAGUGAGCUUAUUUAUAGGUGUUUUUUCAAACUUUGGAGUAGUUGAAGGUGUCAGUUCUAGGGUUAUGGGACCUCUUUACAGCUGGUAAACUCAUACCUGAAUCUCAGAAAUAAUCUCCUCAAAUAUAAUAGUUCAUUUUCUGUUGAAAAAUUCAAUAAUAUUCUGCAUCAGCCUAGCUCUUCGCAGUUUUCCCAGGGCUUUCAUAUACAUUAUUUCAUUAAAAUAAAGUCUGGUUGGCAACGCAGAGGAUGAGGGUUCAUCUCUAAAAAUAAGAAUGGCACUUUGAAGGUUUGUAUAACUUCCAGAUUGCUAGUUAGCCAGGGGCAGGGCUGGGAUGAGCACAGUGUUGCUCAGAUUUUGAUGUGCACUGGAAUUGCCUGGGGAUCUGGCAGAUUCUGAUUUAGGGUUGGUGAUGGUGUCAGUGGUGGUGGUAGUUGGUGACAUCAGUGGUGGGACUCUGUAUUCUAACAUACUCCCAGGUGAUGUCACUGCUUCUGCUCUGAGAUGCACUUUGAGUAUCAAAGGACUAGAGAACAGAUUUUCUCUCUCCUUGUUCAGCACCCUGUUCAUUAAGCCUUGUUGAGUCAAGAUCUAAAACUAAGAGUGGGCAACACAAGGUGAGCCAUUUACUGCUAGAAUUUCAAGGGAUGGAAUGUUUCUUAUCUUAGAAGUAAAACUUUGAGAACUUGCGAUUGACCUUACUCUUUUGCAGAUGAUAAAGCCAUGGUUUUUUGCAGAGAGGGAGCUGACACACCCAAAGAAACUGGCAUCUGGGUCAGAAUAAGAAAGGAUCCCUGGUUUCCUGGCUCAGAAUCCAGUGCUUGCCACACCUUGUUGUCCCCUUUGCAUAUUCCGAGGCAUAUGGAGUUCAACAGGAUCCAAGAGACUUGGGUAAAUGCCAAGUCAUGUGGGCUCCUUAAUCCUGAAGUUUGCCCUGCUGAGUCCAAUCUGGGAACAAUGUCCUGGCUUAGGGGUGAGGGGAGGGAAAGGUUUGUUUCAGGUAUAAUUAAUAAACAUACUCAAAUGCAAAAGGACAGAGAGGAGAGGUAUCACUUUUAAAAAAAAUAUUUUAUUGAGGCAACAUUGAUUUAAAAUUGUGUGAAUUUCAGGCAUAUAUUACUACAUUUCAGCUUCUGGAUAGACUGCAUCAUUUCACCACCAAUAGUCUAGUUUUUCUCCAUCACCAUAUAUAUGUGCCCCUUUACCUCUUUUGCCCUCCCACCACCCCCUUCCUCCCUGGUAAUCACCAAUCUGUUCUACUUAUCUAUUUAUUUGUUUAUCUUCCACAUAUGAGUGAAAUCAUACUGUAUUUGUCUUUCUCUGCCUGACUUAUUUUGCUUAGCAUAAUACCCUCAAGGUCCAUCCAUGUUGUUGCAAAUGGGACAAUUUUGUCUUUUUUAUGGCUGAGUAGUAUUCCAUUGUAUACAUAUACUGCAUCUUCUUUAUCCAUUCAUCUGUUGAUGGGCAUUUGGAUUGCUUCUAAGUCUUGGCUAUCGUGAAUAAUGCUGUGAUAAAUAUAGGAGCACGUAUAUCUUUUUGAAUUAGUGUUUUCAUGUUCUUUGGAUAAAUACCCAGAAGUGGAAGACCUGGAUGGUAUGGUAUUUCUAUUUUUAAUUUUUGAGGAAUCUCCAUACUGUUUUCCAUAUUGGCUGUACCAGUUUGCAUUUCCACCAGCAGUGUAUGAGGGUCCCUUUUCUCCACAUCCUCUCCAACACUUGUUAUGUCUUGUCUUGUUAAUAUUAGCCAUUCUGAAAGGUGUCCAUCACUUUGGGUGUUAAAACCAAAAGGUAUUAGGCCAAGUUCCAGUCCUGGGUUCUGACAGGGAAACUGGGUUGCCACUGGUCCCCGAUUUAGCUCUCCUCUGCCCCACUGCCUCGGAGUUACAGAGUUACACUUUUAAAGCCCGAUUAGUCCAGUUGCGAUGUGCCUUUUGUCACCAGCUACGGUAUCAUUUUUCAUGCACUCUUUAUGUUCAUAUUUAAGUCCAGUCAUCUUUAAUUUAAAUUUUGCUGAAAACAGCCAUAUUGCUGCAAGUGUAAAUGAAGGUAGAUGAACAUUAAUGGUGUCAGCUCACAGCUGUUCAUAAGUUAAAUAGUUAUUGCUCACCCCCCCCAGAUCUCUGUUUGAAAUGCCUAAAAUGUUCAAUUAGAAGCAUAAAGAGCUUUUCUUCAUCAUUGUUAUUAGGAUCAGGUUCAGGCUGAAGAACUUGCAUGUGCUAUGAGACACGGAAAUCAGACUGAAACUCCGUUAAUUAAACAGAACUAGUUUAUGUUUGAGAGGAGUCUGCAGAAGCUAUGUUGUUUUUGCAAAUUUAUUACAUUUUCUUCAAAGUGUCUAGAUUAAUGCUACAUUAAUUACUGGUGGGUAGGCACCCUGCAGCAUAUGUUGCUAUUAAUUGUAUCCAUUAUCACAAAAUAAACAUCUUUUUAUAAAAACAAAUGAUGCUUCAUUUUAAUAUGUGGCUUGAAACACCCUUCUCCACAGCCGUUGCUACUUCUGUUUGGGUGCUUUUGCUACAAAAGACCACCUGUUACAAUAGACAUUUCAUUUGUUUUUAUUUGAAAAAAAAAAAAAAAACCUCUUAGAAAACAAAACUCUGCCUCCUCAAAGUACAAUAAUCUUAAAAAAAAAAAAAAAAAAAAAAUGAAGACCCAGAGGAAAUUUGCAUUUUUCCCAUCAGAAUUUCUCAACACUAGGGUGGCCCAUACACCUUCAGUCUUUUAGCCCUGACCCCUUGGUCUGGAUCUGCUUGAUUUUUAGGUCUUGAAGGAUCUCAUUCUGCUGUAAACUUCUUUGUGUUGCAGAUGGAGAAACUGAGAGCAGUUGGUAUCGACUCAAGGCAGACCCAUUUUCCCCAACUCUGUAAUGGGUUCCUUUUGUUCUCCAGUAUUUAGCUUUUUGACUGCAUCAGCCUGUGGACUGCACUGACUGGCUGUGUGACCUUGGGAAAAUUUCCCAACCACUAUGAUCUUUGGUUUCCUUCACUCCAUAAAGGGAUGAAUAGCUAAUUCAUCAGAGUUGAUGUGAAGAUGAAAUGAAUUUAUGUAUUUCCUAGAAUAGUGCCUGGGAUGUGAUAGGUCCUCAAAAAUGGUGACUAUUGCAGUAAUAAUUGCUGUUGUUCUCAUUGCUGUUAGUUCAAGUAAUGCACAUUCCACAGUCCAUUCUUAAAGCAUUUGGUCUAAUGGUAAAUGACUUGUCACCACUAACGUGGAGCUCCUUCAGAGCCUUGAAGUGCUGCUUUUCUGUACUGUCCUUGCUCUAUGGUUGUUAUUCAGUGUUCAUGAACAAAAAAAUGUAACUAUAAAUUAAACUGAAGUUGAAUCGUAAAGGGACACGCUAUAUACAGUAGUAGUGACUAAAUCCAAAAAUUGAAAUUGCCAGCAAUUGUUGGGAAGACUUUCUUAUCAUUGGCCACUUUUCCACCCCUUUAAAUAAAAAGAAAAAUUAGCUUAGCAUUCUUAGACUGAUCACAAAUGAUCAAGGAUUUCAUUUUGCAUCUUAUGGAACCACAAUGCCAUUCGUUCAUUCAUUCAUUCAUUGACUUUGGAAUUCCUGUUUGUAGGGGAGGACUCUGCACAGAGGCACAGACGGUAGUAGUUGUACAAGAAAUGUGAAAUGCUUUCUUUCUUCAUGAACUGUAUGUGUGUGGAAUAAAAGUAGAUGGGACUACAGUCUCUCACCUUGGAAAAUUUGCAAUUUGGCUGAAAGGCAAAGGUGUGAUGCCUGACACAAGAAGGGAAGAAAUAUCACUUGGGAACUGGAAAUGUAACCUUCCUUUUAAAACUGGACAAAUUCAACCUGUUUUGCGCUUACAACAAAACUCUGGAGCCUUGGCUGGAGGAGGAAGGCUGGGGCAGUGGUAGUCAGAAGGUGCCAGGAAGGAUAAAGCAAAAAAGACUGGCAAAAUCACGUCAUUCUGGUUUCUCUCCUAAGUGCAAUAAUAUUGAUUGCCCUGAAGAUCCUUUGCAAGGUGACAGUAGAAUCGUGUCCUUCUGGAUCUAUUUUCCUUAAACGUCAGAGGAAGACAGCUGUUUCUGGCUCACUGGAAGCUAUUCUAAUUCCUUCAAGAUUUGGAAACUGCUUUCAUCAUUCACAUUAAUCAGAAAAGAGAUGACAUUAACUUUCCCAGGUUCAGAACUCUUGGUUUAAGGAAAGAAAGUGGUCUGAGCCUUGGUCAUCAUUGGCCACUCUUGACAACACCCAUUUGCUGUAAGACCACUGGCCAUCUGCUUGGGUCAAGAAUGCACAUCUAAACUCUAAAAGAGAUUCGGCUUUGGAAGGGAUCAAGAAUUUUGAUUAAGAAUUUAUAAUGACAUUCUCAGCACCGUGCCACCCAUAACUCACAGAGUUUAUAAUACGUGGAACUAGAACUAAUAGACAAAUGAAGUGAAUGAAAGAAAAUCUUUAUAGAAUAAUUUUAAAGGGUUUGGCGAGAUAGAUGACAACUUCCUUUGUCGUCGGUACACUAACCCCAGCAGAAACAGAGUGCUGGAGCAAGCCCAGAAAGAUAUAAAGAAAAACAUUUCAAACAUGAAUCUUCCUGAAAUUCACAUUUAGGCUGAAAUGGGAGAAGGAUAUGAUUGCUCCAUUUUUGCAGCUUCAAGCUAUCUCCGUUCUGCCUUGGAGGAAAAAUACGGACACCUAGUCUUGUCAGCCUACUUCAUCCUGUUACUUUAUUUUUCUAGAAAUGGCUACAAUGGCCAUGAGUUACGGGCAAGGAUCUUAAAUAGAGAAAGAAUAUGAACAUGGGUCCCAUUUCCUUCUUUGAUAUCUAUUCCUUAUAAGCCCGUAUUCAGUGAUAGAAUCAAUGACUGCAUAAAUGGAUAAAUGCCCCUUGGUUCAAUAAAUGAAUUAGAAUAUACCCAGCUGUUCAGCAGAUAUUUUUAACCAGAAUCUCAGGGGAAAUAUAAGCUGCUUAAAGACUCUUCUGUCCUCUGUGGCACCAUAAGCCUUGUGUGGUGAGAAUACCCAACACUUGAGGAGAACAUCAACAUAGAUUCACGUCCAGGGAUCCAGGCUCUCAUUUUUACAGGGAAGUUGAUGGAAGUCAUCACCAAAGCCUAGGAGAAUUAGAGAAUGACUAAUGGGAGAGCUCCAGAUUAUCUCUGGACUAUAAGGAAACCUAGUGCAGAAAGCUGUGCAAAAAUGUGAAACAUAUACCACAUUACAAUAGAUAAAUUUCAGGUUUAAGUGCUCUGAAUUGGACUACUUCAUUUGAAAAUUAGUACCAGACACUUGCCCAAAUGGUGAAGCAUUAGAAAAGUGUUCCUGCCUAUUGUGUAGAGUUUAAAUCAUUUCAGAAAGAAUAACAAUUUUAGGGGUUUAACUUAUAUCCCUCCCAAGAAAUUAUAUGUGAGUGAAUUUAGAUACUUGGCUAACACCUGCAAAGAGUGUUUAUUUGUUUUUAUAUAGCCUGUUUUGUUCUAAUUGUAUUCCACACUGAAUUUUUUAAACAGAUGUGUGAAGCUCAAACAUUAGUUGCAAGGGACAUCUAAUUUAGCUUCUUGCAGGCUGAGAGUCAAAAUACAAUUUUACCCAAAUGUAAGCAAUAGAAAUUGAAUUUCCCCUGAAUCUUUUCGCUACAAGUCAAAUAUGCAUUGGCAAUGUUGCCACAGGAAUUAGCAAGGCAAGCAAUGUGCCCUGAGAACAACUUUCGGAUAAACCAAGACCAUUUAGGACAUAAAGGUUGCAUUGGAGGACCUUUCUGAAUUAUUCUCUUGAAAAUGUAGCCAUAAGAUUAUUUUCCUUUGGAAGUUGAUAGCUCACCUACUGUCCAUGGAGGCAUAUUAUCUAUCCUGGGCAGACUAUUUGCUUGAAUAUAUAACUGGCAUUAGUUUAAAUGAUUAUCUUUGAUCUAGCGAUGCAGAGUAAGUCAACAGUUUCACAGAAAUGUUGAGUAUUGUAAACAUUUAAGCUCCACUUCUGAUUCUUAGUGGUUGUCACUCUGAGGUCAGUUUGAUACACCUCGGAAAGAUGACACUAAUAUACAAAGUGUAAUUUAAAAACUAAUUCCUAGUGUGCCUAAGUGUAUUUGCCCACACAUUUGAAACUUCUGUAAUUGGCUAAAGAAGUGGUUCCCCAUCAGAGAUCUGCAGACUCCCCAAAAGUCUUUUAAGAUAGAUUUAGGACUGGGGUGGGAAGAGUGGUGUGUUAGAGGG
ensembl:lncRNA